rnacentral:rRNA from 1 species
CAGUAGCCGCGGUAAUACGGAGGGGGCUAGCGUUGUUCGGAAUUACUGGGCGUAAAGCGCACGUAGGCGGCUUUGUAAGUUAGAGGUGAAAGCCUGGGGCUCAACUCCAGAAUUGCCUUUAAGACUGCAUCGCUUGAACGUCGGAGAGGUGAGUGGAAUUCCGAGUGUAGAGGUGAAAUUCGUAGAUAUCUGGAGGAAUACCGGUGGCGAAGGCGGCUACCUGGUCCUAUACUGACGCUGAGACGCGAAAGCCAGGGGAGCGAACGGGAUUAGAUACCCCCGUAGUCCCUGUCUCUUAUAU